rnacentral:lncRNA from 1 species
UUUUAUAUAAACUAUAUUAUAUUUAUCUAUUUAAGCUGUUAGACAUAGAGGAUGCAGCCAAAAUAAUAUAAAUAUUUACAAUUUCAUUUCUCCUGAUGAAACCUGCGCUGAAAUAACCUGUUCCUACGGAGUUUCUGUUAGAAAAUGUAAAAUGCCUACACUACGACCAGGAUGUUUUGUAGGAUCGACCAAACAAGAGAGACAGCAGAAAAAUUUUCCCGAAUGUUGUCCAGUAGUUUUUUGUGGUGGUGUGAUUUUUCCGAAUCAAUUUGUAACAACAAAAUUCUGAUAAUUCUGCGAACAAUAUGAAAAGUUGGAAAGGAAAAUAAAAUCAUAUUCAAUACAA